ensembl:lncRNA
CUCCGUUUAAACAGCCACUGAAACCCUUUGGUGGUUUGUGUGUGUGUGUGUGUGUGUGUGAGGGGGAGGGGAAUGUGCUGCUUUAAAUGUUUGAGCGAUAACAAAGCAAUGCUUCCAUGAGGUCAUGUGUUGCUGACAGGGCCUGUGGUUUAACUGGGUGGGGAUUUUUCUUUUGGACUUCCCUUAAUGUGCUCAUAUAUCUACUGCUGGCCCAGUUUUUCUGGCUCUCUCACUUUCUCACUUUCACAGUAACUGUAAAAGCUGCGGUUAAGCAACAACCAUGAGGCUGUUCUGAGGCAUACAUGUCACCCAUAGGUGUUUUUUUUUUUUUUUUUUCUCGUUUAUUGGAGAUGAAACUAGAUCAAGAUAAGGCACCGUCCUACACAAAAGUGCAUAUGGGUCGCAUGAAUAAUGGAUAUGUGGCUUGAACUCCCGCUGAACUCCCACAGCUUUGUCAAAUGGAGAUCUACAGCAAACCUGCACACCCAUUAAUACAUAUCCUUCAUUGUGCUGUUGUGGCCGUUCAUUCAUGCGUUCUGUGUGUCUGUCACAGCUCUGGGUGCGGCCGAUCGGCUGACACACUCAAACAAGGUACGCUUUGUUCAACCCCGUGGUGUUUGUGGUCGUGUACAUCUAAUGAGGUUAGAUAAACCCUCUACACUGACCUGAGACCUGGGAGAAAGGUGACUGGAGUUAAUGUGUAACACAGGUUUACGUGUGUAACACAGGUUUACGUGUUCUUUGACUUCGACCUGUGAAACCAGUUUUUGGUGAUUUAUAAUAUUUACAAAUAAAUAAUGUUUAAAUUAAUAAAUACUAAUGACAGUAAAUAUGUGCAGAAAAAUAUUCAUAUAUAUUAUUCACAUCUUAUUAUAUAUAUUAUUUGUAUUUUAUGUUUUAAAUAUUAUUUAUUAUGCAUUUAUAUUUAAUUUUAUUUAUUGUAUUUUGAAAUGAACUGAAAUGAAUUGUAAUGGAGGGAACCAAAUCAAGCCAUAUCUAAAGAGCAGAAUAUCAUUGAAAUGUACGGCUGAAUAAGACUCAGAUGUUUAGGUUGUAGACUGAACUUUGCUUGUGUUAUCAUCAUAAACAGAGUUAGCGAUCAUGUGAGCUGGUCUGGAGUCACAAAGCAGCGCUGACAGUCUGGCAGGAAGCACAUUAGACAUUGAGCUGUUGCUGAUGCCUUUAUCUCGAUGCAAACUAGUCCACAUUAAGUGUAGAAAAAGUGCCUCGGGUCUGAUGCCACGAGUCCAAUGCGGUCUUUUAAGGUCAGACUCUGUCUGUCUGCCGUCCCUGAUGAGCAUGUUUGCUGCCAAAGGGCGAGGCACUUCCAACAUUGUUUAACAUACAAAAGUAAACAAAAUUGUCUAUAAAAUUAUCAUAAUUAUGCCUAUAUAUUGGCGACUGUAAGGUGUUUUCAAAAUUGUCUUUGAAAGAAGUCUCUUCUGUUCAAGGCUGCAUUUAUUUUAUCAAAAGGUACAGUAAAAUCAGUAAUAUUGUGAAAUAUUAUUGCAGUUUAAAAUGAUUGUUUUCUUUGUAAAUAUACUGUAAAAUGUAAUUUAUUUUUGUGAUGCGCAGCUGAAUUUUCAGCAUCAUUACUCCAGUCUUCAGCGUCACAUGAUUCUUCAGAAAUCAUUCUAAUAUGAUGAUUUGCUUCAGUUUGGAACAGCUUCAUAUUUUUAUGGAAAC